CCUUUUCAGUGAACGGUUUACGUGCGGGUUCAGGUGCGAUGUUGUGGACUCAGAUGGAGCGAGUCGGGUGACGGAACUCAGUCUUGACCAGGCAGGUUACUGGGGUUCACUCGCUUCGCUCUCGUGGAAUCUUCCGUACUUGCAGAACCUUGACAUUUCGGGUAAUUUCUUUUACGGGUCGGUUCCUAGCUCGCUCGCGAACCUCACUCGGCUCAGUCGACUUGGUCUGUCGGGGAACUCGUUUUCCGGCGAGAUACCCACCUCGAUUGGUUCACUCUCGAGUCUCGAGGAACUCUACCUCGAUCACAAUAACCUGGACGGCUCAGUUCCCUCGAGUUUCAACGGGUUGAU
rnacentral:lncRNA from 1 species